rnacentral:rRNA from 1 species
AGGAAUGGCGGCAGCCUACACAUGCAAGUCGAGCGGAAACGAGUUAUCUGAACCUUCGGGGAACGAUAACGGCGUCGAGCGGCGGACGGGUGAGUAAUGCCUAGGAAAUUGCCCUGAUGUGGGGGAUAACCAUUGGAAACGAUGGCUAAUACCGCAUGAUGCCUACGGGCCAAAGAGGGGGACCUUCGGGCCUCUCGCGUCAGGAUAUGCCUAGGUGGGAUUAGCUAGUUGGUGAGGUAAGGGCUCACCAAGGCGACGAUCCCUAGCUGGUCUGAGAGGAUGAUCAGCCACACUGGAACUGAGACACGGUCCAGACUCCUACGGGAGGCAGCAGUGGGGAAUAUUGCACAAUGGGCGCAAGCCUGAUGCAGCCAUGCCGCGUGUGUGAAGAAGGCCUUCGGGUUGUAAAGCACUUUCAGUCGUGAGGAAGGUAGUGUAGUUAAUAGCUGCAUUAUUUGACGUUAGCGACAGAAGAAGCACCGGCUAACUCCGUGCCAGCAGCCGCGGUAAUACGGAGGGUGCGAGCGUUAAUCGGAAUUACUGGGCGUAAAGCGCAUGCAGGUGGUUUGUUAAGUCAGAUGUGAAAGCCCGGGGCUCAACCUCGGAAUAGCAUUUGAAACUGGCAGACUAGAGUACUGUAGAGGGGGGUAGAAUUUCAGGUGUAGCGGUGAAAUGCGUAGAGAUCUGAAGGAAUACCGGUGGCGAAGGCGGCCCCCUGGACAGAUACUGACACUCAGAUGCGAAAGCGUGGGGAGCAAACAGGAUUAGAUACCCUGGUAGUCCACGCCGUAAACGAUGUCUACUUGGAGGUUGUGGCCUUGAGCCGUGGCUUUCGGAGCUAACGCGUUAAGUAGACCGCCUGGGGAGUACGGUCGCAAGAUUAAAACUCAAAUGAAUUGACGGGGGCCCGCACAAGCGGUGGAGCAUGUGGUUUAAUUCGAUGCAACGCGAAGAACCUUACCUACUCUUGACAUCCAGAGAACUUUCCAGAGAUGGAUUGGUGCCUUCGGGAACUCUGAGACAGGUGCUGCAUGGCUGUCGUCAGCUCGUGUUGUGAAAUGUUGGGUUAAGUCCCGCAACGAGCGCAACCCUUAUCCUUGUUUGCCAGCGAGUAAUGUCGGGAACUCCAGGGAGACUGCCGGUGAUAAACCGGAGGAAGGUGGGGACGACGUCAAGUCAUCAUGGCCCUUACGAGUAGGGCUACACACGUGCUACAAUGGCGCAUACAGAGGGCGGCCAACUUGCGAAAGUGAGCGAAUCCCAAAAAGUGCGUCGUAGUCCGGAUUGGAGUCUGCAACUCGACUCCAUGAAGUCGGAAUCGCUAGUAAUCGUGGAUCAGAAUGCCACGGUGAAUACGUUCCCGGGCCUUGUACACACCGCCCGUCACACCAUGGGAGUGGGCUGCAAAAGAAGUAGGUAGUUUAACCUUCGGGGGGACGCUUACCACUUUGGGUUCAAUUGG